UCAUCACUAAUGACAAAAAAGUAAACAAAGGAAAAAUCUGCAAAUAUUGACGGAAAAAUGGAUUACUUUUGGUGGCUAUCGAUGACCUAGCCAAGCGCUCCCACCCAACCAUGGAUGCCCUCGAAGUGCUGCAGGGCACCACCCAUUCUCUGUCGGCAGGAGCCCCCUCCUCGCAACUACGACGGUUCCAUCUCCCCCAUUGGGAAAGUUUACUCACACAUUGUGGGUAUUACAAAGGUUUAAUAAAUAUCCCUUUAAGACCGAAACCUGGCCGCCGUCUCAAAUAUUUACGCGGUCAAAGCAGAGGAUUUGUUUUGCAGGAAAAGGGUACAGGCGCCGCGGAAACUAUGCUCUACCAGUCAUGUAUUGGUAGAGCUCGCAUGGAAACACGGCCCUCAAAGGAACAUACGCGAUGCGCGUGUGUAUGGUCACCUAAUCCUGAGGAGCUCCAGGGGAAAAGAAGGGACAGGCCAAAAAGGCAAACAACGAGGACAAAUAAGGCUCUCGGGUCUAACUCCGGAUAAAUUCACAAACAGGGAACCACUAUUGGGCCGGACCUCGAGGCGAUGAUAGCCCGGGCGGAAGACUUCUCACCGGAGGCCAGCAGCGAUACAGGUCUCCAAGAAAGAAUACUUGCGCUCUCCGGUGAGUUGUGCAAGGGCAGUCGGAGGUUCGGGCACCCGACAAAAUGGCGGUACUUCUCAACGCCGCGAUGCGACGGCUGGAAGUCCCCGAGAUGAGGUGGACGCAGUACACCGGAUCGGACUCACCGGGAAAUGUUUGAUGUCGUCGGCGUCGACUGCGAAAGGCUUUUCUGGCUGGUCGUUGGUACGAGUCGAACGGACACCGGUUGCUGGGCAGCCAAGUCGUGCUGUUGGGUAUGGCGAAGUCGCGCAGACAUCAGUGAACUCCCAAAUAAAUAUUCCGGGGCCCUUUGUGUUGGGACCCCGGCUGCCUUUAUAAAUGAUUAAUAUUAAAUACCGAACUACUAUAUAACUUUAACAUCACUCACUAUUUAAUUUUAAGCACAAACAAAAUUUAUAGUAUCACUUCUAGCUGCAUCUGCCUGGUUGGACAGUAUGACCGCGAUUAUCUCGAUAUCUGCUGAUCAUCGUUCAUACCCCGCGCCAUAUUACAUGGCCUCUCUCAAAAUUGGGUCAUUGGAUACAUGGGUCCAUUUAAAGUAAUCCCAGAGCGAACCGGGAUUAAUCUUCAAAUGGCCAGAUCGCCCGCAAGACUUAUCCUGCUGCUGCAACUAUCGCCCUUUCGACCUAACCUAUCGAUAAAGUCCCACCCAUUCGACUCCAAUUGCAACAAUUUUUGAAACAUUAAUUGGCCUCGGAUGUGAACCAAACCUACCUAGAUCGAUAGAUCUUUUCUUUCUAAACAAUUAAGCACUCUAGAUUUUUGGUCUCCAAAUAGCGAGAAAAUUUAAAAAUUAAAAGAGCCCACACGUUCCAAAUUCCACCAUUCCACUUUCGUUCACGGUCAUAAAUUUGAACACAUUCCACAACUAGCGUUCAGCAGAACAACAUAAUACUGAUUACUGAAUACGAUGUUUUUAAAGUAAUCGACUUGGAACAAAUGGUAUCGAUGAAUCGCGUUAAAAACAGCUGUUCGUUUCCAUUGCUGAAGUUGAUAUGGACAAAUGUACUCAUAUUUUCCAAAAAAAAAAAAAAAAAUAAUAUAUGGACCAGUUCGGCCACCAAACGAAGCGUACUAUUUUUUGGAUCCUUUUUGUACUAACCAAGAUGAAUGACUUUUUUCAUCAUGGAUAGUGAUUAAGUGCGUUCAGCAGAAGGUUAAUUCUUUUCAAGAUGAGAUCAAUUACUGGGUUCCUAGCCAUUGGAAGGCUCUAUGGGCCUACACCAAUAUAAAUUUCCUUAUAACGUUCAAAUGCAUUUUCUUCUGAAAAAAUCCCGAAAUGCCAAGUACAAAAAUCACCUUACCUCGUAAAAAGCACUGAAUAAAAACAUUGGAAUACUAAACCGAUUUGCGUUUGCGGUCCCAUUUUCCUCUGAAGCGUGUUGUAGCGACCUUUUCCCGUCUCUUUCUAGCACGUUUAUUUCUUAUGGUCGCUGAAGCGAAAACCCCUUUAUGUGAAUAAGAACCAGCAGUAAUACGAUCUCCGACGAGCUCUCCAUUGGGAAAUCGCUAAACUCCAUUACCACCAGCUACUUGGCAGCUUAUGCGGAGCUGGAGAACGCGCUGAUGAUGCUUUAGAGAAGAGACAGCUGGAGGAGCCAUUACCAGCCAUUGCCAGGAUGCUGCCCAAAUUCGUGCAGCAUCAGCGGGACAACACCGUUCCCAAUCCGGCUCUCACUUCUUCAAGGUCUAAUAUGCCUAUUGGGAUUCGGAGCUGGAAGGAAGCUUUAAACUAAUAACUUACAUAAUUAAAAACAUUCGUUGAACAUUCCACUUAUU